rnacentral:rRNA from 1 species
GAUGAACGCUAGCGGCAGGCUUAACACAUGCAAGUCGAGGGGCAGCACGGUAGCAAUACUGGUGGCGACCGGCAAACGGGUGCGGAACACGUACAGAACCUACCUUGAUCUGGGGCAUAGCCCGGAGAAAUCCGGAUUAACUCCCCAUAACAUAGAUGAGUGGCAUCACUUGACUAUUAAAAAUUUAUUGGAUCGAGAUGGCUGUGCGUCCCAUUAGCUAGUUGGUAGGGUAACGGCCUACCAAGGCGACGAUGGGUAGCUGGUGUGAGAGCACGACCAGCCACACGGGCACUGAGACACGGGCCCGACUCCUACGGGAGGCAGCAGUGAGGAAUAUUGGUCAAUGGACGCAAGUCUGAACCAGCCAUGCCGCGUGAAGGAUGAAGGCCUUCUGGGGUUGUAAACUUCUUUUACCUGGGAAGAAACCUCCGAUUUCAUUGGAGUUGACGGUACCAGAGGAAUAAGCACCGGCUAAC